UCGCCACCAUCGCCACCUCCACCAGGCUGGAAUGCGUGGUGGGUGGCAUUGCCCGUUGCCUUGGCAUUGACAACUCUCGUCUCGGUGCUGGUGAUCUACACGUGUGUGAAGAACAGGAGAAGCAGACGCAAGGCGGCGGAGGGAGCUGCGAGCACGCAACUUGGGCGCAGAGCGGGCUGCUGCCUGAGCCUCAAGAGGAUCUUCCCGAGCCGCAUCCCCGAGCCGGCCGACUCGCUCAUCAACAUCCGCUACCACCCGGACAAGCGGCAGUCGCACGACAUCGGCGCCGUGCUCAGCAACAUCGAGGGGGCUCGCCACCCGGACUACGCCGUACCGCUCAUGACUCCAGGCCAGGUG